CCAACCCAGUUAUUGAAGGUGAUGCCUGCCCAGUGACUUUGUUUAACGGCCGCGGUAUCCUAACCGUGCAAAGGUAGCGCAAUCAAUUGUCUCAUAAAUCGAGACCUGUAUGAACGGCUAAACGAGGUCCUAGCUGUCUCCCGCAGAUAAUCAGUGAAAUUGAUCUUCCCGUGCAAAAGCGAGAAUAAAUACAUAAGACGAGAAGACCCUGUGGAACUUAAAAAUCAGUAGUCACCUCUACGCCAACCUCACCCUACCAGGGCUCCCGCUACUAGAAUGCUGACUAACAUUUUUUGGUUGGGGCAACCUUGGAGAAAAGCAAAUCCUCCAAAAACAAGACCACCCCUCUUAACUGAGAACAACCCCUCGACGUGCUAACAGUAACCAGACCCAAUACGAUUGAUCAAUGGACCAAGCUACCCCAGGGAUAACAGCGCAAUCUCCUCCAAGAGCCCAUAUCGACAAGGAGGUUUACGACCUCGAUGUUGGAUCAGGACACCCUAAUGGUGCAGCCGCUAUUAAGGGUUCGUUUGUUCAACGAUUAACAGUCCUACGUGAUCUGAUUU
rnacentral:rRNA from 1 species